rnacentral:tRNA from 1 species
GGGGCUGUAGCUCAGCAGGAUAGAGCAACCGCCUCCUAAGCGGUAGGUCGCGCGUUCGAAUCGCGCCAGCCCUG